rnacentral:rRNA from 1 species
GAUGAACGCUGGCGGCGUGCCUAAUACAUGCAAGUAGAACGCUGAAGGAGGAGCUUGCUCUUCUGGAUGAGUUGCGAACGGGUGAGUAACGCGUAGGUAACCUGCCUGGUAGCGGGGGAUAACUAUUGGAAACGAUAGCUAAUACCGCAUGACAACAGUUAUUGCAUGAUAACUGUUUAAAAGGGGCAACUGCUCCACUACCAGAUGGACCUGCGUUGUAUUAGCUAGUUGGUGAGGUAACGGCUCACCAAGGCGACGAUACAUAGCCGACCUGAGAGGGUGAUCGGCCACACUGGGACUGAGACACGGCCCAGACUCCUACGGGAGGCAGCAGUAGGGAAUCUUCGGCAAUGGACGGAAGUCUGACCGAGCAACGCCGCGUGAGUGAAGAAGGGUUUCGGAUCGUAAAGCUCUGUUGUAAGAGAAGAACGAGUGUGAGAGUGGAAUGUUCACACUGUGACGGUAGCUUACCAGAAAGGGACGGCUAACUACGUG